AAUCAUCAGAUGGAUAAAUGUCGAUGGCAGUGAUGAUGUGUGUCGAUGAUGUGUGUCGAUUGCGACGAUACAUGCGACAGCAACUUUCCCACCGGUCAAACAAACCUUGGAAGUCUGAUCCCUGAAGAUUUGGUGGCACGUGAAACUGUAACUCUGGGCCCUUUGAUGGUUUUCCAUAAAAGUAGGCGAAGCAUAACAAUCCAGACAAUAAAGGAUUAAAUAU